AUUAUUGCCAGAGCCGAAGGCGUGUGCAGUAAUGCCUACACGUCAAAAUAACAUUCUGGCAAUAGGUGCAUACCAUAUUUUAUCUUUCGAGAACAGAUAUAUCGAGAUAAGUAAAAACUCCCUAGGGAGAUAAGCUCGACAUUAUCGUUCUAAAUAGAUAAAUAACUUGUGUUUUCUUAUAAUUAU